UAGGGAAUCUUCGGCAAUGGGGGCGAACCCUGACCGAGCAACGCCGCGUGAGUGAAGAAGGUUUUCGGAUCGUAAAGCUCUGUUGUAAGAGAAGAACGUGUGUGAGAGUGGAAAGUUCACACAGUGACGGUAACUUACCAGAAAGGGCGGCUAACUACGUGCCAGCAG
rnacentral:rRNA from 1 species